rnacentral:rRNA from 1 species
UACGAAGGGUGCAAGCGUUACUCGGAAUUACUGGGCGUAAAGGGUGCGUAGGUGGUCGUUUAAGUCCGUUGUGAAAUCCCUGGGCUCAACCUGGGAAUGGCAGUGGAUACUGGACGGCUAGAAUGCGGUAGAGGGUAGUGGAAUUCCCGGUGUAGCAGUGAAAUGCGUAGAGAUCGGGAGGAACAUCUGUGGCGAAGGCGGCCACCUGGACCAACACUGACACUGAGGCACGAAAGCGUGGGGAGCAAACAGG